CUUAGUUUAUUUACGUUUGUGCCCGAAGUAGAAUUUUGCUCGAGAAAGUGGUCAGUGGAUUGAAAAUGCGUUGUUCAGUAAAAACAUGUCCGAAUACGACUAAGAAUACCCGCGUAAGUUACCAUCGUUUCCCCUUGGAUGCUUUCUUACAAAUGCACUGAGUCGGUUUUCGCGGACACGACAAACUUAUUCCGAAUAAGGGUUCUCCUGUUUGUGGAGAUCACUUUAAAAAAAGAAAUACGUUGUUCCAAUUCGACCGAAAAGUGAACAUGUUGAAACUUCAAAACGCUUUUUCAACAAUUAGGCCUAUUGUUGAGCAAGAGGAAUACAUCCAUCACCAACACGUAGCGCAGAUUGUUUUGCCGCUAUAUUCAUAACUACGCGGGUUUCUUCCGGGAAGAUUGUAAACCAUGGAGUGACGACAACAUCGCAGAAUCUGAGUGUGAAAUUCCGACAAUUUUUAAAACCCUUACGGAACUCUACCCACUGGUCCGGGGAAAGUCAAAACACCAAAAUGUUGUGCCAAAUAUCAAAGCUUGCACGAAAUGUGGCAACAGAAAGCUCAGUAUUAGAAAUCGAAAUUCAAUCAGAUGAGCAAGCAGUUCGAAGUUCCACAGCGUAUCAGUAAUGUGUUCAAUGUAGACCAGAUUCAGAUUUAUUCAUAUUUUUUCUCCAAAAUAUAUAUUUUUAUUAAGCCUCAUAUGGU